rnacentral:rRNA from 1 species
UCGAGAAUCUUUCGCAAUGGGGGAAACCCUGACGAAGCGACGCCGCGUGCAGGAUGAAGGUCUUCGGAUUGUAAACUGCUGUCGGCUGGGAAGAAAAAGCUUGGAGUUAACAGCUCCAGGAACUGACGGUACCAGCAAAGGAAGCCACGGCUAACUCUGUGCCAGCAGCCGCGGUAAUACAGAGGUGGCUAGCGUUGUUCGGAUUUAUUGGGCGUAAAGGGUCCGUAGGCGGCCCGAAAAGUCGGAUGUGAAAGCCCACAGCUCAACUGUGGAACGGCAUUCGAAACUUUCGGGCUCGAGUGUGAGAGGGGUAAAGGGAAUUCCCGGUGUAAGGGUGAAAUCUGCAGAGAUCGGGAAGAACACCAGUCGCGUAGGCGCUUUACUGGCUCACAACUGACGC